UGACAGAUUAUUUUGAUCCGAAACUGUCAAAAUAGAUUGCACUCGCGCGUAUAAGCGGCUAGGCCAGUUAGCCUGCUGCUCGUGUUAACCUGUAUGGUUUGAAGCAACUGCGAAAGCUUUUGGUUUCCGAUCUCAGAUGCGAUGUUCGUACUUCUACUGACAAUGACUCCAACUAUAGGGUAUCUAACAGUCCACGAAAUCAACGAACAAGCCAACUAUGUUGAAAUCAAGUUGGCCAACGCAUACGUAGUGACCAAAACAGACAUAACAAUAUAUAUAAUUAACACCCAAAACAUCCUGAACGUUAUUAAUAAGUUCUCAACCAAUGUAGACUCUUUAGAUAACCGCCUUGAAAACUUACUGUUGACAGAACUUAAACAUCUGACAUACAAAGUUAAGACAAUAAUGCCUAGACAAACUCCUCCUACAAACCGACAGAAACGAAGACUCAUUAACCUGAUUGAUAUUUAUAUGAACUAUGAAAAACCCUAAAUGAAUUGACUAUAAGCAAACAUUGCAUAUUUCGACAAAAUUUUAAACUAGAAAAAAA
rnacentral:misc_RNA from 1 species